CUUUGUCCCUGGGUCGCUGCUGCCCAUGCCUGGCGUGCGUUGGUAGGAUUUUAUUUUAUUUCCCGAGCACAGGGAGCUGGCCCAGCUGAUCACCUGCCAAAGAUCAGCUGGAGCCCGUGGUCCCCUCGCCGCCCGCACCGCCCUUUAUUAGCAGGGCACAGGAAAGUGCUUUCUGUGGGGGGGAGCAUCCCUCCCUUUGUGCCACCUGUGACCUGUGAAGCACCUGGAGCUGCGAGGUGAGCCAGCUGGGUCCCAGCCAUGCUCCACGGCCAGCUGGAGCCCUUCCACCCUCCAGCAAAUGCACAGCCACGCUCAGUGGCCAGGCACACGCAGGCAGAGCCGCUCGCUUCUGCUGCCACCGCAGGCUUGUGCAGCUGCAGAGGUCGCCCUGAAAACGCGGCCUCUUGUUAUUCUCUCGGUCCCUUCCGACCCGAACCACGCCGUGGAUCCGAUCCUGGGCUCGUUGUCGCGGCCUGACGCCAGGUGGAGCUGCACAAGCGACAGCGAAGCCCCGCAGCUCACCGAGGCGCUGCCCUGCAAUGCCCACCCUGCCCGGCUCGUCCUCUCCCCGCUCCUGCCUGCUGCAGGCAGCGGUGGGAGAAAUCAGGCCUGGGUCCCUGCGCAAAGCAGCACAGACCCAGAGAUAUUCUAGUAGUGAAACAGUUACACACAACCCCUUCCCGUAGCUUCUGGAGGGGUCUGGCAUCUUUACAUUAUGUAAAGAUCCUCCCAGCAUAAACCUUGAGCAUGUCUUUCACGCUGCCUUUUCCCAUUUUAUUUGGGGGUUUUCUUUCCUGACUUCACCAGGACCCCCCUGAAAAACUUCCCCAGCCCCUUCCCCAUCUCCUUCUCCGUCUCCGUCCCUCUCCUCUUGAAGCUGCUGAAAAUUAGCAGCUCAAAUUAAGAGCACUUCUGUGCUUGUCGGAAGCUUAGCCUGCUGCAACAGCGUCUCAGACCGCACAGAGGACACCAGAGCCUGUCAGCGACUCCUUCAUCUUUAUUUUCUCUUCAGUGUGAAGUGCCAGAGGUGUAAGCCCAGCGGAUUUUGGAGGACUCUGUUUGUUAUGACAUGAUCACGAUGGGAGCAAGGCAAGGUUCCUCCAGCCCAGCACUUCUAAACCUUCCCCUCAGUGGCAACACUUCACUUCAGCCUUUCCUGCCUCUUGCUCAGAGUGCAAAAUUAAAAAAGCAACAACAACAGCAACAAUUUGCAGAAAUAAGAUGAGCCUCUGAGUUCAUCUGGAGGUAUUUUUUCAAGAGGCUCCGAGGAGUUCUCUAAUAUCGCUUUGUCUCCCCCGUGCUUCUCCAGCCUCACUCAUGACCUGGACGAGCUGGAGGCUGGAGAUUUUUAAAUUAAGGUAGAAAAUCCCUGGGGAAAUGAGGCAGCUGUUUUUCUAAUAUUAUGUACACAGAUAUCUAAUGCAUAUUGAUGAAUUACAUAUACCAUUUAUAUUUAUGUUUAAAAGGUCAACAGUGUAUAUUUACGUACACGCACGUAUGUCUGGAUGCAUACAAGAUUGUACAUAAAAGGUCAACAGCAUGAGUAAGAAAAACAAGUUGGUAUUUCUAGCUCUUCUGUUUAAUUUGAGAGACACUGGGGGUCACCUAGGACGGCAGCGAAGGCUGGUGGCAAUCAUCACCCUGUUCUGCAGGUCUGUAGGCUCACCUGCAGUGCCUUGUAGCCUCAGAGAAAAUCCCCUCACACGCCCUUUUUCCACUCAGCCUGGGGAAUUCAACAGGGCACUUUAUCAUGGGGUGCUUUCCGUCGACUUACUGGGGGGGGAAAGCAACUGAAAAUUAGAGUAUAAUUUUCCCCAAACAAGCCUAAUUUAAAACAAACUAAAUGGCCUGUGUGAAACCAAUCAAGGAAAUAAAUUGUUUAAAAAAAAAAAAAAAAAGUGAUCUGGUUAACAGAUGGUCCCAGAGCUAAGGGAAGCUCUGAAAUGAGCUCAACCACACUAAGCUGUUAGAGGCUCCCAGCAAACAGGCCAAAAUAGCCACGGCUAAAUGCCGGAGUCAUUAUCAAACACACCAAUCUGCCUGUAAACGAGACAACGUUUCUACUGAAAGCAAGACUGUUAAAAGUACAACCUCCUCAUCCUGCAUAUUUGUGCCCAAUAUGUCCCAGUGUGAAGGCAAGACGUGCAUGGCUUUACCCUUCCAGUCUUACCAAGAGAGAGCACUGGGGCAGGAACAGGACUCAGCUACGCCUGAUGGUGCAGGAGGCUCCACUUCCAGAUGUUGAAUGAAGAUCCCAUUCCGCUGCAGCUGUAGAAGAGAUAACACAACAGGAAAAGUCUCAAAUUCUUCUCGUUGUCUCUUUUUUCCAGUUUCCUAACGAUGUAGGGGCAACGUGACCGGCACUGCACAUCGCUGCCCUACUUCCCUACCUCAAAUGUGCCAGAGGCAGGAUUUGAAUUUAAAGUUGACAAAUUGGAGAAACAGACUGAAAAAAUAAUAAGAUGAAAAUCUGUAAAGACAAGUGCAAAGCAUUACACUUGAGCAGGAAUAAUCAAUUUCCUGAGUACAAAUUGGGACCAAAUAGCUAGGAAGUGUUGGAGAAGAGGUUCUAGGGAUUGCAGUGGGUCAUAAGCUGAACAGACCUAUGAGAGGCUGCUGUGAAAUGAGUGAAUGUGUUAAGGGGGUCAGAGAACCCCUAGCUGCAGGAGAAAAACCCCGAGAGGGAGAAAAAAGGUGUAGUCACCAAAGAUCUCCAAUCUCCCUAUAGAAACUUUGGAGCAGUAAGAGUUAUACAUGAAAAUAAAUCAAUGACUAGAA